UUAAUUUAAAACAGCUCCUGAAGCAGGCAGACUGAGACACACUACAUUCAAGUGAAAAAGAAUAAUAUAUAGAAUGACAAUUAAAUAAUUUCAUUUGUGAAGUCCAACUCAACCUAAUACAGCCAGUAACUGAUGAACCUCCAGAAGGUAGUUUGGCAGCUGUGGCAGCGUGAGCUGCCGAUGCUUAUCUAUGAUUAAAAAAAAGUUAGUACAGCAUUCAAUUCUGAAAUGAAGUCAACUUUCCAAGUUUUCUCAACUUUUUCUUCUGAUACUCAUCAGGAAAACAUUCCUGCUGUGCCCGCUGAAGUAAGCUGUUUUCUGCUUUUCGUGGUUGUCUGCGGUAAGUGGAGCAGAAGCAUCCCUGUGUAGGCACUGAGCAGCGGCCACAAUAGCUUGCUGCAAAGUCUGUAAUUGCUCGCUAUUUGGAACAGCCGAGGCAGAGGGUGCUGGUGAGUGGUGGUUAUAGGUCAGAGUAUCUGAGGAACAAUGCCAGCAAAGCCCCAGAGCUAGUUCAGAGGCAUCUUCUUGACCUUUGUUGAUCACAAGCUCAGCACUGUCUGAUCGGAUCUCAGGUGUAAGAUGGGAGAUGACGGUGAUUCGAUUGCUCGCCCACUGUCUCAGCUCGAAUCCACCAUUGUCCUGAUAUGUCCUGUAAUUUAUCCACAAGGACUCUUGCCUUAUCCUGGUAGAUGGUAGACUACGCAAACAAUUGUCAACGUAGAAUGACUUCAGUACUGCUUCUCUUUCCUCACCCUCGCGACUAUUUCCGAUAAUGUGCUUCUGGAGGGCAAAGAUGGCACAGAAGGGAGAACAUGUGGUACCAAAGGGAAGCACUCUCCAUUCAUAGGUGUUGGGUGGUUCCUCACAUUUCAAGUCUCUCCACAAGAACCUUAGGAGAGGCUGGUCCUCUGGAAGCAGUCUGACCUGGUGAAACAUUCCGCGGAUGUCUCUGCUGACAGCCAGAGCAUGCUCCCGGAAUCUUAACAAUACAGCGAGCAGUGAAGGGCCUAGUGUCUGUCCAGGCAAGAGGAGCUUGUUAAGAUUCUCACCUUGAUUCUCAAAUUAACAAUUGAAGACCACUCUGUUCUUUCCAUUGUGUGUCACCAUAUAAUGAGGAAUAUACCAUCUGUGUCUUCAUCUCCAGGUUCCAACCUAUGGACAUAGCCAGCGGUGACCAGCUUAUGUAUUUCAGCUGUGUAAGCUGCUGCGUUCUCAGGGGGUCCUUCAACAACCUCUUCUCUGUAGCUCUCAGCUGCGGAAGAACUGCUUCUUUCUGAGCUUUAAGUGAAGGCUUAUGCUGAACACGUAAGAGGGGUGUAGCAUACCUCUCUGUGCCUUCAAUCUCUUCUCUUGCUGUUUUGUGUUCCAG
rnacentral:lncRNA from 1 species